UCGAGAAUCUUCCGCAAUGGGCGCAAGCCUGACGGAGCGACGCCGCGUGCGGGAUGAAGGCCUUCGGGUUGUAAACCGCUGUCAGUAGGGAGCAAAUCCCUAGGGGCUAUCCCCUAGGGUUGAGCGAUCUGCAGAGGAAGCACAGGCUAAGUUCGUGCCAGCAGCCGCGGUAACACGAACUGUGCAAACGUUAUUCGGAAUCACUGGGCUUAAAGAGUCCGUAGGCGGCCUGGUAGGUGAGGUGUGAAAUCCCACGGCUCAACCGUGGAAUUGCGCUUCAAACCACCAAGCUCGAGGGAGAUAGAGGAGAGCGGAACUGAUGGUGGAGCGGUGAAAUGCGUUGAUAUCAUCAGGAACACCGGUGGCGAAAGCGGCUCUCUGGGUCUCUUCUGACGCUGAGGGACGAAAGCUAGGGGAGCGAACGGGAUUAGAUACCCCCGUAGUCC
rnacentral:rRNA from 1 species